rnacentral:rRNA from 1 species
UACGAAGGGGGCUAGCGUUGCUCGGAAUCACUGGGCGUAAAGGGCGCGUAGGCGGCCAGCACAAGUCAGUUGUGAAAUCUCCGAGCUUAACUCGGAAAGGUCAACUGAUACUGUGCGGCUAGAGUGCGGAAGGGGCAACUGGAAUUCUUGGUGUAGCGGUGAAAUGCGUAGAUAUCAAGAGGAACACCUGCGGCGAAAGGCGGGUUGCUGGGCCGAGCACGUGACGCUGGACGGCGCGAAAGCCAGGGGAGCGAACGGG